rnacentral:rRNA from 1 species
GACACGACUCUCGGCAACGGAUAUCUCGGCUCUCGCAUCGAUGAAGAACGUAGCGAAAUGCGAUACCUGGUGUGAAUUGCAGAAUCCCGCGAACCAUCGAGUCUUUGAACGCAAGUUGCGCCRGAGGCCACCCGGUCGAGGGCACGCCUGCCUGGGCGUCACG